UACGUAGGCAGCGAGCGUUGUUCGGAGUUACUGGGCGUAAAGGGUGUGUAGGCGGUUGUUUAAGUUUGGUGUGAAAUCUCCCGGCUCAACUGGGAGGGUGCGCCGAAUACUGAAUGACUAGAGUGUGGGAGAGGUGAGUGGAAUUCCUGGUGUAGCGGUGAAAUGCGUAGAUAUCGAGAGGAACACCUGCGGCGAAGGCGGGUUGCUGGGCUGACACUGACGCUUAUGUGCGAAAGCUAGGGGAGCGAACGGG
rnacentral:rRNA from 1 species